UGGGGAAUAUUGCACAAUGGGCGCAAGCCUGAUGCAGCCAUGCCGCGUGUAUGAAGAAGGCCUUCGGGUUGUAAAGUACUUUCAGUCGGGAGGAAGGUGGUAAAGUUAAUACCUUUGCUCAUUGACGUUACCCGCAGAAGAAGCACCGGCUAACUCCGUGCCAGCAGCCGCGGUAAUACGGAGGGUGCAAGCGUUAAUCGGAAUUACUGGGCGUAAAGCGCACGCAGGCGGUUUGUUAAGUCAGAUGUGAAAUCCCCGGGCUCAACCUGGGAACUGCAUCUGAUACUGGCAAGCUUGAGUCUCGUAGAGGGGGGUAGAAUUCCAGGUGUAGCGGUGAAAUGCGUAAAGAUCUGGAGGAAUACCGGUGGCGAAGGCGGCCCCCUGGACGAAGACUGACGCUCAGGUGCGAAAGCGUGGGGAGCAAACAGG
rnacentral:rRNA from 1 species